GAUGAACGCUGGCGGCGUGCCUAAUACAUGCAAGUCGAGCGAACAGAUGAGGAGCUUGCUCCUCUGACGUUAGCGGCGGACGGGUGAGUAACACGUGGAUAACCUACCUAUAAGACUGGGAUAACUUCGGGAAACCGGAGCUAAUACCGGAUAAUAUAUUGAACCGCAUGGUUCAAUAGUGAAAGACGGUUUUGCUGUCACUUAUAGAUGGAUCCGCGCCGCAUUAGCUAGUUGGUAAGGUAACGGCUUACCAAGGCAACGAUGCGUAGCCGACCUGAGAGGGUGAUCGGCAACACUGGAACUGAGACACGGUCCAGACUCCUACGGGAGGCAGAAGUAGGGAAUCUUCCGCAAUGGGCGAAAGCCUGACGGAGCAACGCCGCGUGAGUGAUGAAGGUCUUCGGAUCGUAAAACUCUGUUAUUAGGGAAGAACAAAUGUGUAAGUAACUAUGCACGUCUUGACGGUACCUAAUCAGAAAGCCACGGCUAACUACGUG
rnacentral:rRNA from 1 species